GCCUACCAUCAUACCACCCUGAAUACGCCCGAUCUUGUCCGAUCUCGGAAGCUUAGCAUGUUUGGGCUUGGUUAGUACGUCGCGGGGAGACCGCCUGGGAACAUCGGGUGUUGUGGGCU
rnacentral:rRNA from 1 species